ACGAGCAAGGCUUUAAGAUGCUGUCUUAAUUUAGUGGGUCCCUGACUUGUAGGAGUUAAAAACUCUCACCCCUUCUACUGCGAUGACGUAAUCUUCCACUCGCAUGUCUCUCGGACUUAAAGGGGAGGAAAAAACACAAGCGAACAAAGAAAAAUUUCCUCCUAGUAAGAAUCAGCGUUGAGCAAGCGCCUCAAGCGCGGUUUCAGGGUGAGGUUAGGUAACUCCCUGGAAAGGGAGCUGCAAGCAGAGUUGGAGGAGCGAACGGAAGGAAACGCUCGGGAAACUCGGAUUCCCAGGCUGCGGAGAUGACCCAGGGGAUAAAGCACUUGCCACACAAGCCUGGGGACCUAAGUUCAGAUCCCCUAUAACGCAGCUAAAGGCAGAUGCUAUAGCACCACUGUCUGUAAUCCCGGCACACUCAGAGUGAGAAGGAAGGCGGAUGACAAGAGAAUAACCUGGAAGAUCUGGGCCCAGCUAGUCUGGCACAUGCAGCGGUGAAGGAGAGAACGCGCCCCAAAUGAGGUGGAAGAUUAUAGAUAGAACAUAAGAGAAAGAAGGAAGGAAUACAGAGCAAGGUGUGCAGAAAUGGGGAAGCCCAGCGCUUAAGAGAAAGAAGGAAGAGAGAAUACAGAG